AUUUAUCGACUUCCUCCUCCUAUACAACUCUCACCACCCAUUGAAAGUCAUCCACCACCAACGCAAUACUCGCCACCCGCUCAAGGUCGCACACCACCUACACAAGCUCAUUCACCACCAACGCAAUACCCGCCACCCACUCAAACUCAUCCACCACCUACUCAAGGUUGCACACCACCUACUCAAGCUCAUCCACCACCAACACAAUUCACACCACCCACUCAAGCUCAUCCUCCACCAAGACAAUACCCACCACCUACUCAAGCUCAUCCACCACCAAGGCAAUACUCACCACCCAGUCAAACACAUCCACCACCAAUGCAAUACUCACCGCCAACUCAAUCUCCACCAAGGCGAUACCUGCCACCCACUCAAGCUCAUCCUCCACCAAAGCAAUACUUGCCACCCACUCAAGGCCAUCCACCACCCACACAAACUCAUCCUCCACCAAUGCAAUACCCACCACCCACUCAAACACAUCCACCACCUACACAAGCUCAUUCACCACCAACGCAAUACCCGCCACCCACUCAAACUCAUCCACCACCUACUCAAGGUUGCACACCACCUACUCAAGCUCAUCCUCCACCAAGACAAUACCCACCACCCACUCAAGCUCAUCCACCACCAAGGCAAUACUCGCCACCCACUCAAACACAUCCACCGCCCACACAGACUCAUCCUCCACCAAGGCAAUACCCACCACCCACUCAAACACAUCCACCACCAAUGCAAUACUCACCGCCAACUCAAACUCCACCUAGGCAAUACCCGCCACCCACUCAAGCUCAUCCUCCACCAAGGCAAUACUCGCCACCCCCUCAAGGCCAUCCACCACCAACUCAAACUCCUCCACAAAGGCAAUACCCGCCUCCCACUCAAGCUCAUUCACCACCAACACAAUACUCGCCACCUACUCAAGGCCAUCCGCCACCCAUUCAAGUUCAUCCUCCACCAAGGCAGUACUCGCCACCCAUUCAAGGCCAUCCACCACCAAUGCAAUACCCACCACCCACUCAAAUACAUCCACCGCCAACUCAAACUCCUCCACAAAGGCAAUACCCGCCACCCACUCAAGCUCAUUCACCACCAACACAAUACUCGCCACCCACUCAAGCUCAUCCUCCACCAAGGCAAUACCCACCACCCAUUCAAGCUCAUCCACCACCAAGGCAAUACUCGCCACCCACUCAGGGCCAUCCACCACCUACACUAACUCACCCUCCACCAAGGCAAUGCCCACCACCCACUCAAACACAUCCACCACCAACUCAAACUCCUCCACCAAGGCAAUACCCGCCACCUACUCAAGCACAUCCACCACCAAGGCUAUACCCACCACCUAUUCAAGCUCAUCCACCACCCACUCAAACACAUCCACCGCCAACGCAAUACCCGCCACCCACACAAGCUCAUCCGCCACCCACUCAAACCCAUCCACCACCCACUCAAACACAUCCACCGCCAACGCAAUACCCGCCACCCACACAAGCUCAUCCGCCACCAAGGCAAUACUCACCACCCAUUCAAACACAUCCACCACCAAUGCAAUACACGCCACCCACUAAAGGUUGUGAACCACCUACUCAAGCUCAUCCUCCACCGAGGCAAUACUCACCUCCAACUCAAACUCAUCCACCACCAACCCAAUACUCGCCGCCCACUCAAAGUCAUCCACCACC
rnacentral:lncRNA from 1 species